rnacentral:rRNA from 1 species
AAUUUCUGACUUAACAUGACUAGUCCGACAAGAUUUCUUGUCGUGAGCUUUUCACGUUUGUCAUCCUUCUGGAAAUUGAAAUUGCGCUUUACUGUGUUGAUUUCAUGAUCCAGAUCUUUUACUUUGAAAAAAUUAGAGUGUUUAAAGCAGGCUUUUGCUAUGAAUACAUUAGCAUGGAAUAAUAAUUUAGGACUUUGGUUCUAUUUUGUUGGUUUCUAGGACUGAAGUAAUGAUUGAUAGGGAUAGUUGGGGGUGCUAGUAUUCCGCGGCCAGAGGUGAAAUUCUUGGAUUCGCGGAAGACUAACUACUGCGAAAGCAUU